rnacentral:SRP_RNA from 1 species
GCUGGGCAUGGUGGUGGGUACCUGUAAUCCCAGCUACUCAGGAGGCUGAGGCAGGAGAAUUUCUUGAACACGGGAGGUGAAGGUUGCUGUGAGCCAAGAUCGCUCCACUGCACUCCAGCCUGNNNNNNNNNNCAGGCUGGAGUGCAGUGGAGCGAUCUCGGCUCACUGCAAGCUCCACCUCCCGGGUUCACGCCAAUUCUCCUGCCUCAG